UCAGAGGUGUGGCGUCAGUGACUGGAUGCAGUCAGGUUUGGGGUUCAGGACUCCCACGUCCCUGGUCAGGUUGUUCUCUUAGUUUUUUGUCAUGACAUCCUGCGAGCAGCACGCGCUCAAGUUAGAACACUGAUGUGUUGACAAUAUCAGACGGUCUGUACUGAUAGAGGACAUGUUGCCUCACUCAAAAACAGUGUCCUGGAAAAAUCACCGCUCUGCAGACCUUUUUAUGAAUAAUUUGCAUGAACUUCUUGCUCCUCUGUCUGCGUGUACUCAAGGUACUCCAGCUUCCAACACUCCAGAAACAUGCAUAAUACAACGGCUUGCUAAAACAUCCUUCUUGAUCCUAGCCCAACAGACUUUAUUUGAUUUGACUUUUGGAGAACGUAGCAAAUAUUUUUGUGAAAAGGUACCGAUAUCAGACUUUCAACAAGUAAUCUAGAAAUAACUACAACAAUAUGAGGCUAUGGGGUUGCUUUUUCUCAGCAAGGGAAAGAAAAGUUGAUGAGAAGAAAGAAGAGUGUCUGUUGCUGGUCCUCAAGUGCCAGUCUGCUGCGGGUUUUAAAUGGGUCAAACCUUCAAUCUGAAUCAUUGUUACCGACUGCUCAUGUGUCUUGUUUUUUUUUUUAUUUCCCCAGGACUCCAAGUUUGACGCUUUGCUCCAGUUUACGAUCCCUUUUUAAUUGCGUACAUCUGGCAAUAAAAUAUAUUCUAAAAUCAACUUUGUAUUUGAAAUGUAUUGUAGAUGUGCUCAAUCUCUUAAUAAGCAAAACAAAUCCACAGCAUAAUACAACCUCUUGUGUAUCAAAAUGAAACACUUUUUAAACAUACUUUGUUAUAUUGCAUCCGUUUUGGUAUGUACACCUUUUGAGUAGAGGUAACUAGUUUCAGUGUGCAGUUCUAACUCAUACUAAAACCACCUGCAGUUGCAAAGCAUGAAUGGUUUACAGCAUGCACAGGCAUUUGCAGAGAGCUCAAAUUUAUUCUUGAUACCACAAUAGGGAAGUUAUAAAGGACUGUGGAAUGCCUCGUUUUCUAUAAUGUAUUCAUAACUCGACACCGCUCUGCUUUUAUACAGUCAAGUUUAUUCUGAUCGAUGAUCCGAUUAAAAAAGGAGCACUGCACCCACUGAACAUUUUUUGUUGUGUUAAACUGUGUGUUUGUAGAAUAAAAAAAGGCUAUUUCUCUUCUUCCAACAAUAGGGAAAAU